rnacentral:rRNA from 1 species
AUUGAACGCUGGCGGCAGGCCUAACACAUGCAAGUCGAACGGUAACAGGAAGCAGCUUGCUGCUUUGCUGACGAGUGGCGGACGGGUGAGUAAUGUCUGGGAAACUGCCCGAUGGCGGGGGAUAACUACUGGAAACGGUAGCUAAUACCGCAUAACGUCGCAAGACCAAAGAGGGGGACCUUAUGGCCUCUUGCCAUCGGAUGUGCCCAGAUGGGAUUAGCUAGUAGGUGGGGUAACGGCUCACCUAGGCGACGAUCCCUAGCUGGUCUGAGAGGAUGACCAGCCACACUGGAACUGAGACACGGUCCAGACUCCUACGGGAGGCAGCAGUGGGGAAUAUUGGACAAUGGGCGCAAGCCUGAUGCAGCCAUGCCGCGUGUAUGAAGAAGGCCUUCGGGUUGUAAAGUACUUUCAGCGGGGAGGAAGGGAGGAAAGUUAAUACCUUUGCUCAUUGACGUUACCCGCAGAAGAAGCACCGGCUAACUCCGUG